ACACGUGGCGGGUGGAAGGCUCCGCUGUGUCUAACCCUAAUCGGAGGUAUUGAUGGUACUGUCGCCGCGCUCCCUCCGCCCGCUGUUUACUCGCUGACUUUCAGCGGGCUAGGGGAGCCGCCCCAGGGGGCGCCGCGGGGGGGAGGGGGUGGGGCGGACGCGGGAGAAAGGACCGAAAGGGGCUCCACGGCAAACAAAAAAAAAAAAACGUCAGCGAGGGGUCCUCUCGCCCCCAUCCGCCCUGGGGUCCUCGCCCGCAGGCCGCGGUCGGCCGGCACCCGCCAUUGCCGCCGCGAAGAGUUCGCCUCUGUCAGCCUCGGCGGGGCCCGGGAGAUGCGGAGCGCGGCCCCGCGCCCCCAGCAGAGCAACACGGGAGCGGCGCCCCCGGGGCAACCCCCGCGCCCCCCUGCGCCGUGGGGCGCGCGGACGGCGUCGCUCCCACACGC
rnacentral:telomerase_RNA from 1 species